rnacentral:rRNA from 1 species
GAUUGAACGCUGGCGGCAUGCCUUACACAUGCAAUUCGAACGGCAGCACGGGUGCUUGCCCCUGGUGGCGAGUGGCGAACGGGUGAGUAAUACAUCGGAACAUGUCCUGUAGUGGGGGAUAGCCCGGCGAAAGCCGGAUUAAUACCGCAUACGAUCUACGGAUGAAAGCGGGGGACCUUCGGGCCUCGCGCUUUAGGGUUGGCCGAUGGCUGAUUAGCUAGUUGGUGGGGUAAAGGCCUACCAAGGCGACGAUCAGUAGCUGGUCUGAGAGGACGACCAGCCACACUGGGACUGAGACACGGCCCAGACUCCUACGGGAGGCAGCAGUGGGGAAUUUUGGACAAUGGGCGAAAGCCUGAUCCAGCAAUGCCGCGUGUGUGAAGAAGGCCUUCGGGUUGUAAAGCACUUUUGUCCGGAAAGAAAUCCUUGGCCCUAAUACGGUCGGGGGAUGACGGUACCGGAAGAAUAAGCACCGGCUAACUACGUG